CCUACGGGGGGCAGCAGUGAGGAAUAUUGGUCAAUGGACGGAAGUCUGAACCAGCCAUGCCGCGUGCAGGAAGACGGCUCUAUGAGUUGUAAACUGCUUUUGUACAAGGGUAAACCUGAAUACGUGUAUUCAGCUGAAAGUACUGUACGAAUAAGGAUCGGCUAACUCCGUGCCAGCAGCCGCGGUAAUACGGAGGAUCCAAGCGUUAUCCGGAUUUAUUGGGUAUAAAGGGUGCGUAGGCGGAUUGAUAAGUUAGGGGUGAAAUGUCGGCGCUUAACUCGGGAACUGCUGCUAAUAGUGUGGAUCUAGAGAGUAGAAGCGGUAGGCGGAAUGUAUGGUGUAGCGGUGAGAUGCUUAGAGAUCAUGCAGAACAACGAUUGAGAAGGCAGCUUACAAAUCUAUAUCUGACGUUGAGGCACGAAAGCGUGGGGAGCAAACAGGAUUAGAUACCCUUAGUC
rnacentral:rRNA from 1 species